GGAGAAAAAUGGGAUUUGGUGGGAUUUGGGUCUUAAACUGGGGAGACAAAUGGGAUUUGGUGGGAUUUGGGCCAUGGAAUUGGGGAGAAAUUGGGAUUUGUUGGGAUUUGGGUCAUGGAAUUGGGGAGACAAACGGGAUUUAGUUGGAUUUGGGUCAUAAACUGGAGAGAAAAAUGGGAUUUGCUGGGAUUUGGGUGGUGGAAUUGGGGAGAAAAAUGGGAUUUGUUGGCAUUUGGGUUGUGGAAUUGGGAAGAAAACAGGAUUUGGGUCAUAAACUGGGGAGAAAAAUGGGUUUUGGUGGGAUUUGGGUCAUAAACUGGGGAGACAAAUGGGAUUUGGGUGGUGGAAUUGGAGAGAAAAAUGGGAUUUGUUGGGAUUUGGGUGGUGGAAUUGGGGAGAAAUGGGAUUUAGUAGGAUUUGGGUCAUGGAAUUGGGGAGACAAAUGGGAUUUGGUGCGAUUUGGGUGGUGGAAUUGGGAUCAAAACGGGAUUUGGGUCAUAAACUGGGGAGAAAAAUGGGAUUUGGGUGGUGGAAUUGGGGAGAAAAAUGGGAUUUGUUGGGAUUUGGGUCGUAGAACUGGGGAUAAAAUUGGAUUUCUUGGGAUUUGGGUUGUGGAAUUUGGGAGAAAAUGGGAUUUCUUGGGAUUUGGAUUGUGGAAUUGGGAUAAAAACGGGAUUUGGGUCAUAAUCUGGGGAGAAAAAUGGGUUUUGGUGGGAUUUGGGUCAUAAACUGGGGAGACAAAUGGGAUUUGGGUGGUGGGAUUGGGGAGAAAAAUGGGAUUUGGUGGGAUUUGGGUCGAGGAAUUGGGGAGAAAUGGGAUUUAGUAGGAUUUGGUUCAUAAACUGGAGAGACAAAUGGGAUUUGUAGGAUUUGGGUCAUAAACUGGGGAGACAAAUGGGAUUUGGUGGGAUUUGGGUCAUAAACUGGGGAGACAAAUGGGAUUUGGGUGGUGGAAUUGGAGAGAAAAAUGGGAUUUGUUGGGAUUUGGGUGGUGGAAUUGGGGAGAAAAAUGAGAUUUGUUGGGAUUUGGGUGGUGGAUUGGGGAGAAAUGGGAUUUAGUAGGAUUUGGGUCAUGGAAUUGGGGAGACAAAUGGGAUUUGGUGCGAUUUGGGUGGUGGAAUUGGGAUCAAAACGGGAUUUGGGUCAUAAACUGGGGAGAAAAAUGGGAUUUGGGUGGUGGAAUUGGGGAGAAAAAUGGGAUUUGUUGGGAUUUGGGUCGUAGAACUGGGGAUAAA
ensembl:lncRNA